rnacentral:lncRNA from 1 species
CGGCCGCUCCUCCUCUCCGCCAAGAGCCGUUUCGGGCACAGGCCCCGCAGAGGCUGCCCCUCACUUGGGGGCUCACUCACUGGGCUGCUUGCAGCUCUGGACUGUUGUGAAUAAAGCCGCUACCUCAGCACAGCUCUGUACCUUGGAGGACUCGGGGAAGUUUCUGGGCCUGUUUGGGCAAUAGGAGAAGGUCAUGGGCUGUCUCCCCAAAAUUCAUGUCCACCCGGAACCCCCGAAUGAGACCUAUUUAAAGAGAAGGCCUUAGCCGAUGGAACAUUAAGAUGAGGCCACCCUGGAGCAGGGUGGGCCCUGAAUCCGAGGCUGGUGUCCCCAUAAGGUGACGAGAGGAUGCAGGCGUGAGGAGACACAUGGGGGUGGGGUGGGGAACAG